rnacentral:rRNA from 1 species
AUUGAACGCUGGCGGCAUGCCUUACACAUGCAAGUCGAACGGUAACAGGUCUUCGGAUGCUGACGAGUGGCGAACGGGUGAGUAAUACAUCGGAACGUGCCCGAUCGUGGGGGAUAACGCAGCGAAAGCUGUGCUAAUACCGCAUACGAUCUACGGAUGAAAGCGGGGGAUCGCAAGACCUCGCGCGGACGGAGCGGCCGAUGGCAGAUUAGGUAGUUGGUGGGAUAAAAGCUUACCAAGCCGACGAUCUGUAGCUGGUCUGAGAGGACGACCAGCCACACUGGGACUGAGACACGGCCCAGACUCCUACGGGAGGCAGCAGUGGGGAAUUUUGGACAAUGGGCGCAAGCCUGAUCCAGCCAUGCCGCGUGAGUGAAGAAGGCCCUCGGGUUGUAAAGCUCUUUUGUCCGGAAAGAAAAGCGCCGGGUUAAUACCCUGGUGUCCUGACGGUACCGGAAGAAUAAGCACCGGCUAACUUCGUG